rnacentral:rRNA from 1 species
GCUUAACACAUGCAAGUCGAGGGGCAGCAUGGUCUUAGCUUGCUAAGGCCGAUGGCGACCGGCGCACGGGUGAGUAACGCGUAUCCAACCUGCCUUACACUCUUGGACAGCCUUCUGAAAGGGAGAUUAAUACAAGAUGUUAUCAUGAGUAAGCAUUUUCGCAUGAUUAAAGGUUUACCGGUGUAAGAUGGGGAUGCGUUCCAUUAGAUAGUAGGCGGGGUAACGGCCCACCUAGUCUUCGAUGGAUAGGGGUUCUGAGAGGAAGGUCCCCCACAUUGGAACUGAGACACGGUCCAAACUCCUACGGGAGGCAGCAGUGAGGAAUAUUGGUCAAUGGACGAGAGUCUGAACCAGCCAAGUAGCGUGAAGGAUGAAGGUUCUAUGGAUUGUAAACUUCUUUUAUACGGGAAUAAACGGAUCCACGUGUGGAUUUUUGCAUGUACCGUAUGAAUAAGGAUCGGCUAACUCCGUGCCAGCAGCCGCGGUAAUACGGAGGAUCCGAGCGUUAUCCGGAUUUAUUGGGUUUAAAGGGAGCGUAGAUGGGUUGUUAAGUCAGUUGUGAAAGUUUGCGGCUCAACCGUAAAAUUGCAAUUGAUACUGGCAGUCUUGAGUACAGUUGAGGUAGGCGGAAUUCGUGGUGUAGCGGUGAAAUGCUUAGAUAUCACGAAGAACUCCGAUUGCGAAGGCAGCUUACUAACCUGUAACUGACAUUGAUGCUCGAAAGUGUGGGUAUCAAACAGGAUUAGAUACCCUGGUAGUCCACACGGUAAACGAUGAAUACUCGCUGUAGGCGAUAUACAGUUUGCGGCCAAGCGAAAGCAUUAAGUAUUCCACCUGGGGAGUACGCCGGCAACGGUGAAACUCAAAGGAAUUGACGGGGGCCCGCACAAGCGGAGGAACAUGUGGUUUAAUUCGAUGAUACGCGAGGAACCUUACCCGGGCUUAAAUUGCAACCGAAUAUGGCGGAAACGCUAUAGCUAGCAAUAGCGGUUGUGAAGGUGCUGCAUGGUUGUCGUCAGCUCGUGCCGUGAGGUGUCGGCUUAAGUGCCAUAACGAGCGCAACCCUUGCCGAUAGUUACUAACAGGUCAUGCUGAGGACUCUGUCGGGACUGCCAUCGUAAGAUGUGAGGAAGGUGGGGAUGACGUCAAAUCAGCACGGCCCUUACGUCCGGGGCUACACACGUGUUACAAUGGGGGGUACAGAGGGCUGCUACCACGCAAGUGGAUGCCAAUCCCAAAAACCUCUCUCAGUUCGGAUUGAAGUCUGCAACCCGACUUCAUGAAGCUGGAUUCGCUAGUAAUCGCGCAUCAGCCACGGCGCGGUGAAUACGUUCCCGGGCCUUGUACACACCGCCCGUCAAGCCAUGGGAGCCGGGGGUACCUGAAGUGCGUAACCGCAAGGAGCGCCCUAGGGUAAAACUGGUGACUGGGGCUAAA